rnacentral:rRNA from 1 species
UACGUAGGUGGCAAGCGUUGUCCGGAUUUAUUGGGCGUAAAGGGAGCGCAGGCGGUGACUUAAGUCUGAUGUGAAAGCCCACGGCUCAACCGUGGAAGGUCAUUGGAAACUGGGUCACUUGAAUAUAGAAGAGGAAAGUGGAAUUCCAUGUGUAGCGGUGAAAUGCGUAGAUAUAUGGAGGAACACCAGUGGCGAAGGCGACUUUCUGGUCUAUUAUUGACGCUGAGGCUCGAAAGCAUGGGUAGCAAACAGGAUUAGAUACCCGGGUA